rnacentral:rRNA from 1 species
UACGAAGGGGGCUAGCGUUGUUCGGAAUUACUGGGCGUAAAGCGCACGUAGGCGGAUAUUUAAGUCAGGGGUGAAAUCCCAGAGCUCAACUCUGGAACUGCCUUUGAUACUGGUAGUCUCGAGUCCGGAAGAGGUGAGUGGAAUUCCGAGUGUAGAGGUGAAAUUCGUAGAUAUUCGGAGGAACACCAGUGGCGAAGGCGGCUCACUGGUCCGGUUCUGACGCUGAGGCGCGAAAGCGUGGGGAGCAAACAGG